UUGUACAUUUAUUGAAAAUGUAUUGAAAAUUAAACUCAUAUCUCAUUUACAUAAGUAUUCAAAACCCCUGAGUCAAUACUUUGUAGAAGCACCUUUGGCAUUGAUUAUAGCUGUGAGUGUUUCUGGAUAAAUCUCUACCCAGUGGGCAUAAAAUGUAAUAAAGACAUCUUUUACUGGUUGAAAUCUGGUCUGGACUUCAUAACCACAUCACAACCAGAUUAAGACGUCUUCCACAUUACGUCUUUUUGACGUCAUGAAAAAUAUUUAUGACAUUCUCUAUGGUCCUAUAGCUAUCAGAGAUUUGACCUACUUUAGAGAAUAUCCGAUACUAUAAAUGCUUUUGCUUUUACUAAAGGCUAUGUUUUUCGUAGUUGCAGUCCACCCAAUUGUGCACAUUAACUUCCUUAACAUGUGUUCUAGGCAACCAGCAUGUAAAACAAUGCACAAUAUGACAGGAUACCGUUAAAAAAUGGCACUGCUGUUAAAAUGCAGUAAACCUGCGGAACAAUGAAAUAAUGGUUGUUUAAUUAAUGAUAUCUGGUAGCUUGCUGUGUGUGUGUGUUGGCUUCCUAAUGGUAAUCUUUUGUCUGUGUUAACUAAUUGUACUGUUUAUUGUGCUGCACAUUUUCUUCUGUUCCACUGAAUGCUGUUUUGAUGUUCUAUUAUGACUAACAAAUAACAUGUAGGCCUAGUCUUUUAUUUCAGUAUCCUGCUACAAUCCACCAGGAUUUACAAAACCCUAUUUUUAUCACCUUUUUUUUUCAAUCAAUAAUUUGUACAAAAUGAUUGCACCUGAAUUUGACCCAGAUAAUAUGACUAUUAUAUUUUUCCUUAAAGCUUUUAAACAAUUAACAUAAUGUGUGCUGUAAUUGCAUUUUAAUUUCAGUAGCUAAAUUAGGAGGUAGGCAUAUCAGUUCCAGCUAAAACUUGGAUUGGAAUCCGUGCUUCAUGCACAGCAAUAGAUCUCAUCGCAGCCUACUCGAGCGCAUAGGUCAACAUUCCAUGUUAGUUGGGACAGCUCGCUCAAUUGGCUACACAACAACACAAUUGGAAAACUACAACAGUUUCUUGAAAUUUAAACAAAAAAACUAAAAUAUUUGCCUGCUGUGGUAGUCCCUGUUUUCCUGCAAUCUUGUUUUACUUUUGUAAUUGAAGCAGUGGUUUGUUGGGGAGAAGAACGUCAAGGAAAGAUUUGCUAGCUAGCUAUAUUGGCUGGCUAAUUUUAGCUAACUAGCUGUCUAACGUUAGCUCUCUGGCUAAUCUCCAUGGACAUGGUAAGUUUCAAUUUUACCUUUUGUAGGCGUUGGGUCUAGCUAGCUAACAUUUUGAUAUAUGUUUAGUUAAUGCAAGUAAAUGUGUGUGUUCUCUGCGUGUGUGCGUGAGAGAUGAUGAUCAUGUCAACAUUGUCAUGCUAGCUAUGAGUGUGUGUUCUGGGAGAGAGGGGGAAGAGAUGAUGAUUAUGACCACAAUACCUUAAAGAAAAGAUUGUCAACAUUGUGAGAGAGAGAUGGUACAUGAAUACACAUAUAGUAAACAUUUAUUGUGUGUGAGACGGUAAGCUAGCCUAAUUCUUGAAACGUGUACCCCCAAUAUGGAUGUUUAGACUUUCUUGAUUCAUCAGAGAUAUUUUUGUCUAUAUUUAAUUUGACAAUAUGAUACAUUUUGCCUGUCCCUGCUCCUCCUCAACACUCAUUCUAAGAUUACACCUCUCAACUGCCUUUUUCAAUUAUUGGUUCUCUUUUUUUUGCAGGAAACUAGCUUGGAUGGAAGGUUGGAGGAGGGAAAAAAAGGGAAUGAGUAUAGAAGUUAUCCAGUCUGCGGACUAAGAAAUGCAAAUAGACAGCAAAACAUAGAUGGAGAGAGAGUGUCUGUCUGCCGGAAGGCUGAGGUGCAACAUAGUCAAAGCACUUGCUAGGCUAACUUCGUGAAGACCUUGGGUAAUGGCUAAUCAUGAUUUGUCUUUACAGUUCCUGAAACAUGUCAAUGUCCUGAUGCAUGGCCUCUACAGCAGUGCCUGGCCACCCACUCAAUUACCAGUGACCUACCUAUUCUGCCACAUCCCAGGUAAAGGAGAGAGCAGAACCACUCCUCCUUAAAUGAAUAGUAAUUGACAGUGCACAACCCAUGAGUCCUGAUUCAACAUAAACUCACGUGUGCAGUUGCAGAGAAGAGGAAGAGAUUUGGAAUUACACCCAUUUCUAACAAUAUUUGUUGUAAGAAUGAUAUGACACACACAACUUAUUGGUUUCUAUUGCCUCCUACACAUACUUACAUUGUCGUAUUUAGCUUUCUUUGUUUAAGACUAGCAAGCUGUCCUCAAUGGGGGGAACCUUUGUCUGGAAUAAUGUCCACAGGAUUUUGGAGCGGUGUGUUAUAUAAGAAGUUAAAAAUGGCCCUCUGGAAAGACUUAAAAUAUGCCCGUGACCACCCUGAUGGAGGAGGAGGCAAAAUCUGACCCAUCACAUGACUCUUCUAGAGGGCCAUUAGGCUCCAGAUCUCCUUCUGUGUUCCGAGCUCCUUGAUGAGGAUCUACCCCAUCACACCACUCUGAUUAAUCAUUAAUCAAAUAAAACAAUGGGCCUUUAUAUACUCUGUCCCAGUCUUUCUAUGCAUCUAAUGUCUGAGUGAAUUAUGAACCAAUUACUGUAAAUUGUGAUGUAGAUUUGUUUUUGCCAUUGCUUGAUCUAUUUUAAAUGUAAGAAUAUGUUGCAGAUUAAAUGUAAUUGGUGACUAUGGAACAAAUAUAAACAAAUAUAAAUGUAAUCGGCAAUGUUUUCAAUAUCAAACUUUAUCCUCUGCAAUACUUUUUACAGUACACUCUUAGCACUUUUUUUUCUAUCUAGAACCUAAAAAGGUUAUUCAGCAGUUCCCAUAGGGGAACCCUUUGAAGAACCCUUUUUGGUUUCAGGUGAACCCUUUUUGGUUCUAUGUAGGACCCUUCCCACAGGGGGUUCUAUGUGGAACCAAAAAGGCUUCUCCCUAGAACCAAGAAAGGUUCUCCUAUGGGGACAGCUGAAGAACUUUUUUUUUAUUUUUAAGAGUGUAUGUAAUAAACUGUAAUCAUAACCUGGUAAUGACCACCUGACGAGGUCUUAACUAUGACCACCAGUAGGCUACAUCAUAUAGCAGCACAUAAUAGUGGUCAGAAUUAUGACCAACUGGUCGUAUGGUGGUCAGAAAAAUACAUAAUAUUCUGGUCAGUAAAAAGACAUAAAACAAAACGUCCUAUUUCAACCGUUUUGCGACCAGAAUAAUACGUCAUAAGACAUCUUGUCAACCAGGUUUGCCCACUGGUUAAGAGCUUUCCACACCUGGAUUGUGCAACAUUUUUUCAUAAAAAAAAAACAUUCUUCAAGCUCUCAAAUUGGUCGUUGAUCAUUGCUUGACAACCAUUUUCAGGUCUUGCCAUAGAUUUUCAAGUAGAUUUCAAAAUUGUAAAUCGGCCACUCACUCAACAUUCACUGUAUUCUUGUUAAGAAACUCCAGUGUAGAUUUGUGUUUUAGGUUAUUAUCCUGCUGAAAGUUGAAUUCAUCUCUUCGUGUCUCCUGAAAAGCAGACUGAACCAGAAUUUCCUCUAGGAUUUUGCAUGUGCUUAUCUCCAUUCCGUUUCUUUUUUAUUCUGAAAAACUCCACAGUCCUUAACGUUUACAAGCUGUGGUCCUUCUGUAGCUCAGUUGGUAGAGCAUGGCGCUUGUAACGCCAGGGUAGUGGGUUCGAUCCCCGGGACCACCCAUACGUAGAAUGUAUGCACACAUGACUGUAAGUCGCUUUGGAUAAAAGCGUCUGCUAAAUGGCAUAUAUUAUUAUAUUAUAUUAUACAAGCAUAUCCAUAACACCACUUAUGCUUGAAAAUACAGAGAGUGGUACUCGGUAAUGUGUUGUAUUAGAUUUGCCCCAAACGUAACACUUUGUUUUCAGGACCAAAAGUGAAUUACUUAGCCUUUUUUUUUACAGUAUUACAGUGGUAUUACAUUCCUUUAAAAGUUGCAGCUUGCUGUGGCGCAGCUUGCAUGUUGCCACAUAAUUCUAUGGCACUUUAAGUGUGAACCACUGGUACCAUUAAUGCUAGUUAGUGCUAGUUUGACUACCAUAUUUGAUAGCCUUCAAUAAUGGCUGUAAUAAAGAAUGCGGGCACACGGGAGACCGGGGUUCAAUUCCCCGAUGAAGAGGAAGGAGUAGGCUGUCCUUGUAAAUAAGAAUUUGUUCUUAACUGAUUCAAUAUGUGCUAUUUUGUAGUUGUGAUGUCUUCACUAUUAUGCUACGAUGUAGAAAAUAGUAAAAAUAAAGAAAAACCCUGGAAUGAGUAGGUUUCUAUUCCAAGAAAAAUGAAAACCCUCUGGGUUACUGUUAUGGCGCGGUACAACGUGACGGUCGGGAGUACAGUACUGGGCCAUUUAGCUAAAGAAUCUAUGUGUCGUGUGGGCAGGGCACACGGGAGACUGGGGUUCAAUUCCCAGACGUGGAGGAAGGAGUAGGCUGUCCUUGUAAAUAAGAAUUUGUUCUUAACUGACUUGCUUAGUUAAAUAAAGGUUACACUAAGAGCAUAACAUUUCCACACCCUAAUUUUCUAAUUCUGGUCUAACCAAUACCCAAACUGAGAUUAAGUGAAAAUAAAAAUCUAAUUUUAUUUAUCAAGACCAUGCUUGUCUCAGAGUAGCGUGAAAUGGUGCUAAAUCAUAUUGCUUCUAACUUCACCAUGCUCUUUAAAUAAAUAAGACCUGCACCACAUUUAACAGCACAUUACUCAACACUAGUGAGACUCAUGUCGCCUACGGUAGGCCAACAGUAUGUCUAAAAACGUGACGUGACUCUCCGCCAAUAAUUACAUAUAGAGGAUUGGAGGAUUCUAAAUUAAAACAAAAACUUGUGAUCCGUGGAUAUUCUGAAAGUAGUUCAAGGGUCGUAGGUCAUAAGACUAAGGAACUGUUGAAAUUUGAAUCUAUCAUAAAUUCUCGUAAAAUCUCAUGAGAUGCAAAUGGACAAACAAAAAACGUCCAAUGUGUAGGCCCACUGAGUGUACAUUAUGAACCUUGUUUGAGGUGUGUGGGUCACAUGACCAAGACUAAUGAAUUUCACAAAUAAAAUAAAAAAUUGUGUGAGAUGUAUACCAACAAAAAGCUAGAACCAGUUUUGAUAGUUUUAGGAGUAAUGGUUAAAGAGCUAUUGAAAUUUGAAAAAUGUGAUGUGUCACUAUGUUGAAGGAUUCUAAAUUAAAACCAAAAGCCACCUCAUGGGUCUCCCAGUGGCAGCCGGCACAGGUAUCGAACCUACAUCUGUAGCGACGCAUUUUGCACUGCAAGAGCCCCCAUCCAAAAAGUUUUAAAACAGAAAGGUGUUGGUAAAGAUAUAUUGUCCUGCUAAUAGCCCAUAAUGGGCUAUUAUAAUACUGUACAUGGUGUCCAGGUCAGGAUAACCAAAACAUUUCUUUAUUAAAGACUAUCAGAAAGAAUGUUGGUACUUAUUUAUUUUGAUCCAAAGCCAUGAAUGAGUGAGUCACUCAGCUUUAUGUAGGUGCCGGCUAUAUGACUGAUAAUAUAUAACGAUAUUUUGGACGUUAUUUUGUUUUCAAAAAACAAAACAGAGCAAUUGUAAUCUGAAUAAAUCCCAAAAUAAUAUUUGUAAAGGCCAAAACAUUUAUUUUUGUUUUUAGAGGGAGAGUAACACUGGGCCAAUUGUGCGCGCCCAUAAAGGCCAAAAUAUAGCCCUGCUAAUAGCCAUAAUAGCGCUGUACAACGUGACUGUGUGUUUGAAAGAGUAUUUUCCAGUAAGCAACAAUUUGUUUACCUUCAAUAGACAGCUUUGUUCCAGUAAUUCUGUAAUUCACUGAUAUUUAUUCCCAUAGUAAUUCAUUAUGGAUCCAAAGCUAAAUAAACAUCAGCAUUUUGAAAGAGUAUUUUUAUCAUUAUUUUAUUAACGAAAGCAUAAAGAUGUUGAAGAAAUACUGUACUGCUGUUUUGAGUUAGAAAUGUAACACUUCAGAGUACUUAAGCAUCAAAUACAUUGCAGGUAGGGGGAUGUUCACAACUACAGUAGCCGGGCUAUAAAGAGUCUAUUUACCUGAUAAUCGGACUACAAGUGUUUGAAAACCUGUUUUCAAAAUGUCACAAGCUGUUCAUCACUACUGUAAAUAAAAACACAGCAUCUUGUUUA